GUAUUAGCUAGUUGGUGAGGUAACGGCUCACCAAGGCAACGAUACGUAGCCGACCUGAGAGGGUGAUCGGCCACACUGGAACUGAGACACGGUCCAGACUCCUACGGGAGGCAGCAGUAGGGAAUCUGCCGCAAUGGGCGAAAGCCUGACGGAGCAACGCCGCGUGAGUGAUGAAGGUCUUCGGAUCGUAAAGCUCUGUUGUUAGGGAAGAACAAAUGUGUAAGUAACU
rnacentral:rRNA from 1 species